AUUGAACGCUGGCGGCAGGCCUAACACAUGCAAGUCGAGCGGAUGAAGGGAGCUUGCUCCUGGAUUCAGCGGCGGACGGGUGAGUAAUGCCUAGGAAUCUGCCUGGUAGUGGGGGAUAACGUCCGGAAACGGGCGCUAAUACCGCAUACGUCCUGAGGGAGAAAGUGGGGGAUCUUCGGACCUCACGCUAUCAGAUGAGCCUAGGUCGGAUUAGCUAGUUGGUGGGGUAAAGGCCUACCAAGGCGACGAUCGGUAACUGGUCUGAGAGGAUGAUCAGCCACACUGGAACUGAGACACGGUCCAGACUCCUACGGGAGGCAGCAGUGGGGAAUAUUGGACAAUGGGCGAAAGCCUGAUCCAGCCAUGCCGCGUGUGUGAAGAAGGUCUUCGGAUUGUAAAGCACUUUAAGUUGGGAGGAAGGGCAGUAAGUUAAUACCUUGCUGUUUUGACGUUACCAACAGAAUAAGCACCGGCUAACUUCGUG
rnacentral:rRNA from 1 species